GCCUGUAAAAUGAACCUCAGUUCGCCUCUGCUAGCUCCAACAUGCCUCACCUCCACCUAAACUCACACGUAGAUUGCAGAAGUUAUUUAAAGGAGGUACAGCCCCUUUAAAAAAGAACACACCCUCCCAUAGCGGAUAACCCUUUCUCUUUUCCCAUCAUUGUUGGCCUUCAAGCAGCCACCAACAAAGAGUGCGUCAAAGCUCCUCAACAAAAAAUUCCCCCAACUAAUGCGAAUCCCUUCCCACUGCUAACAGGCCAACCUAUUACCAUAGGAGAAUUAAUGCUAAAAUAAGUAACUAGGGGAACACCCCUCUCAAGCGCAAACUUACAUCCUAUAUUAUUACCCAAGACAUGAUACCCUCACCCCUACAAGCCAACCCUAUCUCAAACUAACCCUGUUACACCAACCCAGGAGCGCGCUAAUAGAAAGAUCCAAAUCUGUAGAAGGAACUAGGCAAACCCAAGGCCCGACUGUUUACCAAAAACAUAGCCUUCAGCACACCAAGUAUUGAAGGUGAUGCCUGCCCAGUGACACUACCAUGUUCAACGGCCGCGGUAUCCUA
rnacentral:rRNA from 1 species